CUGGCUGUGUGCCUAAUACAUGCAUGUCGAGCGAUGAUAGCAAUAUCAUAGCGGCGAAUGGGUGAGUAACACGUACUCAACGUACCUUUUAGRUUGGGAUAGCGGAUGGAAACAUCCGAUAAUACCGAAUACUUAUUAUUUUUGCAUGAAAGUAAUAUAAAAGGAAGCGUUUGCUUCGCUAAAAGAUCGGAGUGCGCAACAUUAGCUAGUUGGUGAGGUAACGGCCCACCAAGGCGAUGAUGUUUAGCGGGGUUGAGAGAUUGAUCCGCCACACUGGGACUGAGAUACGGCCCAGACUCCUACGGGAGGCAGCAGUAGGGAAUAUUCCACAAUGGACGAAAGUCUGAUGGAGCGACACAGCGUGCAGGAUGAAGGCCMUAUGGGUUGUAAACUGCUGUGGUUAGGGAAGAAAAAGUAGCAUAGGAAAUGAUGCUACCUUGACGGUACCUGAUUAGAAAGCAACGGCUAACUAUGUGCCAGCAGCCGCGGUAAUACAUAGGUUGCAAGCGUUAUCCGAAAUUAUUGGGCGUAAAGCGUCUGUAGGUUGUUUGUUAAGUCUGGCGUUAAAUUUUGGGGCUCAACCCCAAAACGCGUUGGAUACUGGCAGACUAGAGUUAUGUAGAGGUUAGCGGAAUUCCUUGUGAAGCGGUGAAAUGCGUAGAUAUAAGGAAGAACAUCAAUAUGGCGAAGGCAGCUAACUGGGCAUACACUGACACUGAGAGACGAAAGCGUGGGGAGCAAACAGGAUUAGAUACCCUGGUAGUCCACGCCCUAAACGAUGAUCAUUAGUUGAUGGGGAACUCAUCGACGCAGCUAACGCAUUAAAUGAUCCGCCUGAGUAGUACGUUCGCAAGAAUAAAACUUAAAGGAAUUGACGGGGAUCCGCACAAGCGGUGGAGCAUGUGGUUUAAUUUGAAGAUACGCGUAGAACCUUACCCACUCUUGACAUCUUCUGCAAAGCUAUGGAGACAUAGUGGAGGUUAACAGAAUGACAGAUGGUGCAUGGUUGUCGUCAGCUCGUGUCGUGAGAUGUUCGGUUAAGUCCUGCAACGAGCGCAACCCUUAUCCUUAGUUACUACCAUUUAGUUGAGCACUCUAAGGAGACUGCCCGAGUAAUCGGGAGGAAGGUGGGGAYGACGUCAAAUCAUCAUGCCUCUUACGAGUGGGGCUACACACGUGCUACAAUGGACGGUACAAAGAGAAGCGAAGUGGUGACAUGGAGCAAACCUCAAAAAACCGUUCUCAGUUCGGAUUGAAGUCUGCAACUCGACUUCAUGAAGUCGGAAUCGCUAGUAAUCGUAGAUCAGCUACGCUACGGUGAAUACGUUCUCGGGUCUUGUACACACCGCCCGUCAAACCAUGGGAGCYGGUAAUGCCCGAAGUCGGUUUAUAAAGAAACUGCCUAAGGCAGGACUGGUGACUGGGGUUAAGUCGUAACAAGGUAUCCCUACGAGAAC
rnacentral:rRNA from 2 species